rnacentral:rRNA from 1 species
AUUGAACGCUGGCGGCAUGCCUUACACAUGCAAGUCGAACGGUAACAGGUCUUCGGACGCUGACGAGUGGCGAACGGGUGAGUAAUACAUCGGAACGUGCCCGAUCGUGGGGGAUAACGAGGCGAAAGCUUUGCUAAUACCGCAUACGAUCUACGGAUGAAAGCGGGGGAUCUUCGGACCUCGCGCGGACGGAGCGGCCGAUGGCAGAUUAGGUAGUUGGUGGGAUAAAAGCUUACCAAGCCGACGAUCUGUAGCUGGUCUGAGAGGAUGAUCAGCCACACUGGGACUGAGACACGGCCCAGACUCCUACGGGAGGCAGCAGUGGGGAAUGUUGGACAAUGGGCGAAAGCCUGAUCCAGCCAUGCCGCGUGCAGGAUGAAGGCCUUCGGGUUGUAAACUGCUUUUGUACGGAACGAAAAGCCUCUUUCUAAUAAAGAGGGGUCAUGACGGUACCGUAAGAAUAAGCACCGGCUAACUACGUG